GACGAACGCUGGCGGCGUGCCUAAUACAUGCAAGUCGAACGAAGUGGCGAACGGGUGAGUAACGCGUAAUUAACCUGCCCUUCAGAGGGGGACAACAGUUGGAAACGAAUGCUAAUACCGCAUACUGAAGCAGGGGAAUGAGUCGGAUUGGCUAGUUGGCGGUGUAACGGGCCACCAAGGCGAUGAUCAGUAGCCGGUCUUGGAGGAGUAAUGGCACCCUUGGGAACUAGAGUCGGCCAAGACGCCUCCGUGAGGCAGCAGUGGGUGAUCGUCCGCAAUGGACGAAAGUCGGACUGAGCAACGCCGCGUGAGUGAUGACGGCCUUCCGGUUAUAAAGCUCUGUUCAUCGCGACGCGGUACCGGAAUAGAAAGCCACGGCUAACUACGUGCCAGCCGCCGCGGUAAUUC
rnacentral:rRNA from 1 species